rnacentral:lncRNA from 1 species
AAGUUAUACUCCCCUCUCUAUAUCUAGUGCAUAUAGCGGGGAAGAUCUAAAUGAUAGCGAGGAAUUUUCAAGUCUCGGGGGUAAGAGCAAACAACUCAUUGUAGCUAACAUGAGGGACAUGGUUAUUAAGUCGAAACUUUGGGACCAACAGCAUUAUGAAGAUGAUGAAAGUUUGGAUGAAGGUUCCGGGGGAUGGUCAUCUGAUGAAGAAAGACAUCAAGAAGAUUGUGAUAGAUCAGAAGAAGACAGCAAUGCAUCGUCCAAAUCAAUUGUUCUAAAGAAAAAUGCAGAUUUGACUGGGAUGGAAAAACAGUCUAAUCUAGGUAGCAAAUUGAAUCAUAAUGCUCAGGUUUUCAUUCCUAAAAAGGUUUCAACAGCAGAUCUUUUGAAGACAAAACCAUCAUCACUAGCUGCUGAAAAAGAAAACCCCUCCACUGCACCUCUGAAUCUAGUAGCAUGUCCGAAAGUAGCACAAAAUCAGCUUAUAUGUACUCAAUCGCUAAUAUCUCAUGACCAAUCUCUUCUCCAGAAAAAUCACAUUUUUGAAGAAGGCGAGGAGGAGGAUAUCUUAGCGCAAUGCCGGAAAAGUGCUGCAAGAAUGGGGGAUUUGUCACCAACACACAGUAAAGCUGUUAAAAAGAUCCAUCAAAGGGGUAAAAGCUGGGACGGCAAGAUAGUUGAGGCCCCAAACAUAAGGAAGCUCCCAAUGAGAAUUGCAAAACAAAAACAGCUCAAUCAUACAACCUCCGCAAAAUCUAGCAAAUCAAAAUCCAAACCAUGAAUUACCCAAAUAUUGCAACCUUCCGUCUUAAAACCCACUCGACAGAGGAACAAGCGGGACGUUUAAAGACUUUUGGAGUCAACACUACACAUAGUUGAAGAAAAGAAAUCAAUUAUGCUUUCUUACCUAUCUCUUUAAUGUUUAUUUUCUCGCUUUUAUUUUAUGAGUCUUUUUUCAGCAUCGAUAGGUUGUAUAAGGUCUGGUCGCUAUGUGCUUGUUAUAUGGGUAACAACUCUGGCGUCCCCCUCGUAUAAACCUAUCUUUGUAUUUUUCUUAAUAGGUCGAAUACGGGAAGGUUGACACCCUUUCUCGUUAUUCACCUAUUUGUACUAUUUUACUUUCAUUAAUAAAAUUUCAAAAUUUGCUCAAAAAAAAAUUCAAUCUAUUUUUUUCAAUUUCCAAUUAUUAAGGUGAAUGUAAUUUAGUUAAUUAAUUUCAGGUAGAAGGUGACUUAGCAUUUAAUAACAGUGAUAAAACACAAGACUGAGAUUAAUGAUUACGCAAAUCAUGUUAUCAAAAAGAUAUUCAUCCUAGACGGAUGCUACAGAUCGGCACAAGGCCCCAAACAUGGCAAUAAGCCUAAUUAUCAACAAUACAAUGUGCGUAUCAGCCUCCAAUAAUUAUAUUUAGCUCUCGAGAUGGACCAAGUCACAAUCCCCAAUCAUAUACAAUCCCGCACCUGCCAUGGGGUGCGAGUCACACCCUAACAUAGCGUAACGAUGUGAUAAACUGUGGUUUCAAACCCUCAUGCCAUCAUCUAUACAAACUACUCACCUCUAACCGCUCGUAGACUGGUCCGCAAUACCUUUUGCCUUUGAAUCUCCGUCUACGCGUGUCGAAUCUAGCCAAAAUCACAACGAAUACGUCAUUAUAGGCUAAAUAAACACAAUACAAUUAAAAUUAUUCGAAAAAGCUAAAAAUAACGAAGUUGGUAAAACCCGAGCACUGGGCCCACUUCUCAAAAAAGUCCGAAAAUUACAUCAUCGGAUUCCGCAUCUCGCCACGAGUCCGUACAUAUAAGGUUUGUAAAAAAUGGAGUUCAAAUGGCCUUUCAAAUCCCCAAAAUUCGUUUUCAAAAAUCAAGCCCUAGUUAUUCACAAUUUCAACCUAUUUUUACGGAUUUGAGGGUUGAUUCUUCAUAAAAAUGGUGUUUUUAAGUCAAAAGACUUACCUCCAAUCACUUUCUGUUGAAAAUCCUCUUCAAAUCGCUCAAACUUCUCUCUUGGUGGAGAAAAAAUGGUGGGAAAAGUGUUGGGUUCGUGACUGAAAGAGCCCUUAAAAUCAUUUUGUCCAGCUGAACAAUCCUUCUUCGCGAACGCGAGGCCCUUCCGCAUUCGCGAUGACCAAAUCCACAGGGCUAAUUUUCCUUCUUCGCAAACUUGUGGCCCCUCUGCGUUUGCAAUAGCCAAAAUACCAGAUGCUCAAUUUUACCCUUAGCGAACGCGUUGCCUUCACGCGAAUGCGAAGGUGUGGCUCCUUCUUCCACGCAAACGCGACCCCUUCACGCGAUCGCGAAGCACUAGACCAGGCCCUUCCCAAAUGACCCCUACGCGAAUGGGUCCAGCCUAUGCGAACGCGAAGGCCAAUGGACCCCAGGCCUACGCGAAUGCGAGGCACCCCUGCGAAUGCGAAGGCCAAGCUUUACCUGCAACAGUUGCUGCAAUUUAUGUAGCACAAACCAACCUCCGAACUCCCCGUUAGCCAUCCGAAAUCACCCCGAGGCCCUCGUGACCUCAACCAAAAGUACAGAUACAUCUUAUUACUUCAUUCAAACUAUCUCCUAACAUAAAAAUACUAUCAGAAACAUCAAAAUCAUCAAAAUCAUCAAAUUACCACGGAUUCAAGCCUAAGUUAAACUAAAACUUCCGAAACUUGCAUUUGAUCAAAAACCCAACCUAAACACCUCCGAAUGAUCUGAUAAUUUGCACACAUAUCAAAAAUCACCUAACGGAGCUACUGCAACUGUCAUAAUUCCAUUCCGACCCCAGAUCAAAAUCUCACCUAUCAACCAAAAUUCGCCAAAAUUCAAACUUAGCCAAUUCAAGCCUAAUUCUACACCAGGCCUCCAAAUUCAGUUCC